ensembl:lncRNA
GAGCAUCACACCUGGAGUUACAGAGUGUGCAAAACUUAUAAAAACCUUUUGUCAACCAGCAAUUAUAAUACCUCUGUUACACGGAGCAUGCAGAUAAAACUGUCAGAAAAGGCAAUUAAAUGGGACACGUUUUUAAUAUUCUACCUUCCAAAGGAGAAACAUUUUAUCUUCUCAAAAUUUCAGAGUAUCACAUUAACAAACUGUUGACAUAUUAAAGCCAUUAUUAAGAAACACGAUGCUGAAAGGAAAAUAAGAAUUACCGAUCAGUUAUUACAGUUCAAAUAUUUUUCUUACUUAGCAGCUGUGACGAAGUUGCACUCCUGUUACUUCUGCCAAUGAAUGCACUGAAAAAAACAGUACAUCAGAUUUCAGUGAGGUUUUCUGACACUACUUCCUUCAGAAAGAACCAGAUUCUACAACCUGCUCACCUGCCCAGCUAUUGAGAACGGGGCUGUAGGAGCUGGGAGGCAAGCAGGAGACAUCACCAGCCAUAGAGCACCCAUUCAAAAUGCAUCUGGACUUGCCAUUGUGAAGUAUUGCUGUUCUGUUAUGGCGGCAGGGGACAUGUUGGACAUGAAUGACUGGUAGGGAUGGCAACGAAACAUCUAUCAAAAUAUUUCUCAGCAGCUCAGAUGUUUUUUCUAGAUCAAAAAGUGUUUUCUUUCUAGGAGAAAUGUAUCCACCUUGUCAAAGAUGAGCACAUCUCAGUUCACUCCUCACAAAGAGUAGGGACGUAUUCUAUCCAGGUGUAUUCUGUCCCAUGCUCACAGCACCUCCCAGCCCUGCUUCUCCCUCACUGCUGUGUCCCACACACAGGACCUCCAUGGAGGAGGGUGCCAGGACAGAUUCUCCCACAAAGCUUGGCCACAGGUCAUGGUCUGAAAGUUACUCAGAGAAAAGAGCAGGAAUAAUACUUUCUUUUUCCCCCUCUGCUCAGUGAUUUCAGUACAACUCAAGCUCCUAACUGCUGUAGGGAUCCAGGCCAAAACAUAUUCAGUAAUAGAUACUGAAACAGACUAUUUCAUGUGCCAGUUCGGUAGGUUAAUUCACAUAAGCGAGAAAACAGUUCUGACUGAAGGGAGGAGUGAUUUUAAAACGUUGAUUCAUACAGAAGUGUUAGCAGCCUUGUGCUUAUACCCACCAUCACUGAACAGAACAGAAUCGGCAGCAAUGUUAUUUCCAAGUUCUGUGGUGUAAAUAAAACCCCUCUCUCUGACUCACAGUGAGUCAUUUUUGUCUGUAUGUGUUUAUGUCGAGGGAGAUAUAACUUGGUGCUCUGAGCAUUCUUCUUGACAAGAUCUUUUUGUGUCUCUUUUUCUCUUGCUUUUCUGUGAACUUUUGAGAUCUUUCUUGCCAGUGAUCUCCUUCUUGCUUAGCGUAACCUCAUCCCACUUGUUCAGCUUUCUGGCACAAGUGAAAAAAGACAUGAAGUUAUAUUGGCUGCAGUGUUGGCACGUUAUAGGGAAUUAUAUACAAAAUGAGAGAAUUUAAGUACCAAAGGCUGUAUGAAAGCAGCAACAUCUAGGCAAACUGACACCUAGUGUGUACAGUAACUGCGGGGCAUCUUCUGUUACUUCAGAUGAAGGUGUCUGAACAUCUCUUUUUUAAGGACCUCGCUGUUCACAGUUUUUUACCAUACCAUCAUGAUUUAUGCUCACAGCGGCCAGUCCCAGCCUUCAGAAAUGCAAAAGCAUGCUUAGCCCUUGCAACGGGGAAAGGAACAGAAACUAAGCCCAACCACAUCCCCAGUGCACAUCUGUAAUAUGUUUCUAUUUCUAGCCUUCCUUCUGAGCCCUGGGAGGUAAGGUGAGAUAUGACUGCUCCUGGGAAACAAUGGGGGAGUGUGUGUGACCAUAGCCCUCCACGCUGCCGUGGUGGUGUGGCCAUGUCAGUCACUCAUAUCACCUUUGAUAUCAGAGUCUGGCCUCAAUGAACCUGCUCAAUAUCUGCUGCAUGCUGCACUGUUUGGGGAUGAUCCCACCAGAGUUGCCAAGCUGUUUUCAAAAGACAGAGUGGAGAAGUCAUUACUUUGUCCAUGGCCUUCUCUUCAUUGUGCAGCUCUGGAAGAGCCUCCCAAAGUUCUGCACUCCCUCACUGUCCUGCCUGUGUGUGUGCUGUCCCCACCGCAGCCUGGAGCUCCUUGCUUGCGGUGACCAAAAUGGCUCAGGCCUGUCUACGAGGGCUGAGAAGGAUGGAUGGACUUCUGCAGGGGAUGAAAGACAGUGCCUUUCCCUGCUGCAUGGUGUUGUUCCAACCUAAGUGCUAAGUGAGACAAGAUUCUAAUGAGAAAAGCUCAUAUGUCGCCAGGUGAGUAUGAAAAAAUAUGUAUCAUAAGGACAUAAUCUAGGGAGGGCUGAGAUUAACAGUUCAUAAAUAAAAAAUGUAAAUAUGCAAAACAAAACAGUCUGUACAUACACAAGAGAACUGCUUUUUGGAGUACACCAUAAAUGCAGCAGUUAAUCUAAGCCAAGAGCUAUGCUAGGUUGUUAAUUCCAGCAGAUUAUGAUGAUCACUCUUCUUUUUUGCUCUCUGUGAAAUAAAUGUCUCAUGUGGAGGUUUUAAACAAGUCAGUCCUAUUUGCCAAACAAAUCCAACGUUCAAAGAGAUUGUGAACAUUAGCAGGCAAUGAUUUUUCCGUUUAUUGAUUCCCUGUAAGGAAAAAAAAAUAAAUAAAUAGUGGGUAUUAGAGGAAUACCACAUGUACUAGCUCACUCAUAACACACCUGAGGGCAUGUGAACACGUUUGUUUUACCCCACUUAACAUACCUGUUUUUUCCCACUGCUCGUAUGAGAAAGGCAAGAUGUUUCAGUGGGCACAGCUCUUUAUAAUCCAGUGCCAACAGCAGAAUAUGAGACACCAAUAGAGCCGCUCACAGGUGUCUUCUCAGCAUUUCUUAAGUGUUCCUAGGAAGGCAGAUGCCCUCAGGAAGAAGGUAAUUUACGUACCAGUUCUACCUGUACACCUGUUUGCAAUGCAGAUACGCGGCUUUAUGCUGAGCGCUGAGCCAAUAGGAAGCUCACACACAGCACUGACUGCUGAUAAUUAAAGAAACCUUCAGGAGUAUCAUAUAAUAUCUGGCACGGGAUCCUCUCAUCCAUCCAGCAAAGGCUGCUCUGCCAUGCACUUUCCGUACCACUCUACUCGCUUCCGUAACAAUUAAGACAGUGUAUCUGUGAAUCAUGGUUUCCACUGCAACGUUCAGUGCACCGCUUGUGUGUUAUUGUUGUCUGAUGGCUCCUUCUUUAGUCUGCAGAGGGGAUCACUCUAUUACUGCAGUUCAGACAGCUCACAGGUUGGCCCUUGCCCCUCUCUUUCAUAAAGUAAGUAUAAUUAGAUGAUAAUGCCCUUCUUGUCAAAUCUUACCGCUUAUUUAAGCCUGCAGUAAUAAUUUCAAUUUAUUAAAGAUUUAUUCAGAUAAAAUUAUUAUCACUGUUUAUUCAAAUGGACAUUCUUUUUCUUUUUUUUAUGUUAUUUUUCUUUUUUUCUCUUCUCUUCUCUUCUCUUCUCUUCUCUUCUCUUCUCUUCUCUUCUCUUCUCUUCUCUUCUCUUCUCUUCUCUUCUCUUCUCUUCUCUUCUCUUCUCUUCUCUUCUCUUCUCUUCUCUUUUUUUUUUUUCCCCCUCUUUUUCCAAGGAAACAAAAGCUAUA